rnacentral:piRNA from 1 species
UGGUGGCUUGCUUGGGGACACACAGCCCA